AACGAACGCUGGCGGCAUGCCUAACACAUGCAAGUCGAACGAGACCUUCGGGUCUAGUGGCGCACGGGUGCGUAACGCGUGGGAACCUGCCCUUAGGUUCGGAAUAACUCCCCGAAAGGGGUGCUAAUACCGGAUAAUGUCUUCGGCCCAAAGAUUUAUCGCCUUUGGAUGGGCCCGCGUUGGAUUAGCUAGUUGGUAGGGUAAAAGCCUACCAAGGCGACGAUCCAUAGCUGGUCUGAGAGGAUGAUCAGCCACACUGGGACUGAGACACGGCCCAGACUCCUACGGGAAGCAGCAGUGGGGAAUAUUGGACAGUGGGCGAAAGCCUGAUCCAGCAAUGCCGCGUGAGUGAUGAAGGCCGUAGGGUUGUAAAGCUCUUUUACCCGGGAUGAUAAUGACAGUACCGGGAGAAUAAGCUCCGGCUAACUCCGUG
rnacentral:rRNA from 1 species